UUUAGCAAUUUGCAAGUGUGCAGCACAUCAGAAGAAUGACUAUGAAAUUACAAAGGGAAACAAUUUUACUGACAAAGGAUGAACAAAAAGCAGCUCCCACAGCUGAGCAAAAGAAAUGGCUGAAAUGUGGAGCGAAACUAAAAGAUGACUUGAUGGUUUGUGAAGGAAAACCAAUACUUCCAAAAUCUCUACACAAAACAGCAGCCUUAGUGACACAUGGAGUUACUCUCCAUGUGUCAACAGGAGGGAUAAGAGAUAUAAUCUCCAAAACACACUCUAAAUUUCGAAACUUCAGCAAAAUGCUGGCCAGAGUGUAUAGGCCUAGUAAAAUGUGGAUGAGAUUAACCCAAUGCUUGCAGAAACUGACACCAUUUGAAAUUGUACAUGGUAGACCUUUUCCUCUGCCUAUCACCAGUGAACCAAUAGACAAAUCAGUUAGAGAAACAACCCUAGCAGAAUGGAUGACAAAACUGCUAGAGAACAAAGAAAUAGUUCUGAGCAACCAACUGCCGAAUGAUUCUUCUCCAGUCUCUUCCAGGUUGAAACCAGGCGACUGGAUCCUGAUCAAGGUACUCCAGAGGAAAAACUGGAGCUCUCCGAGGUGGGAGGGCCCUUAUCAGGUCCUGCUCACAACACCGACAGCGUGCAAAAUCGCUGAAAGACCUUCGUGGAUCCACCAGAGCCACGCCAAAAAAGUACAAGGGGACACAAGCCCAGACACCAGUCCACCUAUCAUCUAGUGAUCUGUAAGUGAAGGAGAGGGCAGAUUGGGUAUACCCCGCCCUCUUGACUUCUCGCUUUCAGUCGACACACUAGGUGAUCUGGUGAACUUGGUCAACCUGAAGAAACCCCAUUGUAGCCCGAGCACCGACCUAGCCCCAUCUGCCCGGUAGAGUAAAGGAAGAUCAGUCCAACCUGCAAAACCAGAAGAGCAACCCAUCACUCAAGUAACUACUCAGACACUCAUAAACAAUGCCUGACAUAGACGUGCAAAAUGAACAUUCAGACAUUUCAGAUGGAGAGGACCCAGUCCCCAACAGGACUCGACGACGAUGCUGGUUACUCGCCCACAACAAAUGACUCAGACCCAUGUAAUGGGCAGACACAAUCAAAGUAUUAGCAACUAUCUUAUGCAGUAUUUUAGUGAUGUUGGCCAUUAUUGUUUGUUGUAUUGUACCAUGUUUCAAAGCUUUGAUUAAGAAAGUUGCUAAAGACACUGCAACCGGAGUCUUCCUGGCACAAGCUUAUAGCCCGAUAGCAACUGAGGAAGAAGAAGACUGUGUUUAAAAAUUUCAGACACUUAACAUGAUGUA